ensembl:snRNA U2 U2 spliceosomal RNA
AUCGCUUCUCGGCCUUUUGGCUAAGAUCAAGUGCAGAACUUGCAUUGCACAACAGUGCAAAUGUACUUCAUACCCUUGAAUGGCACACUUGGAAAUAGAUAAAAUGGUAAAUUUUACUUAUAUUUUACCAUAAUAAAAAGUGGGGAUUUGCUUUUUACACACAAAGGAAAGCACAUCCUCUUUUUGAUGAGAUAAAU